rnacentral:piRNA from 1 species
UGGGGAUGGUGCUAGCUUAGAUGGAGG